rnacentral:rRNA from 1 species
GUGGGGAAUAUUGGACAAUGGGCGAAAGCCUGAUCCAGCCAUGCCGCGUGUGUGAAGAAGGUCUUCGGAUUGUAAAGCACUUUAAGUUGGGAGGAAGGGUAGUAACCUAAUACGUUGCUACUUUGACGUUACCGACAGAAUAAGCACCGGCUAACUUCGUGCCAGCAGCCGCGGUAAUACGAAGGGUGCAAGCGUUAAUCGGAAUUACUGGGCGUAAAGCGCGCGUAGGUGGUUCGUUAAGUUGGAUGUGAAAGCCCCGGGCUCAACCUGGGAACUGCAUCCAAAACUGGCGAGCUAGAGUACGGUAGAGGGUGGUGGAAUUUCCUGUGUAGCGGUGAAAUGCGUAGAUAUAGGAAGGAACACCAGUGGCGAAGGCGACCACCUGGACUGAUACUGACACUGAGGUGCGAAAGCGUGGGGAGCAAACAGGAUUAGAAACCCGUGUAGUC